GAACUAUGAGACAAUAAGGUUGUUUAGGCCUCCCGGUCUGUAGUACUUCAUUAUAGCAGUCCUAGCAAAAUAACAGAGCGGAGGAUGGAACUACCACUUUCUCAUCACAAGCACAAAAAUAUACACACCACACACACUAUACACACGCACAUACCACACACACAUACCACAAGCACCACACACACAUACACCGAACACACCACAUUCACAUAUACAACCUGAUACUUUCAUUCCUAUUAUCUUUCUGUUCCAUUUUGCUGAUAAAAGAUCUCUUUAAAACUACUUAUCUUAUGAAAUAAGACAUCAUUCAAACCAACUCCCUUUCUCUCUUUCUCCAACUUUCCUUCUCUUUCUUAUGAGGAAAUGAGUAGAGAAAAUUUAAAGUACACAUCCUAGGCCCCAUUUGCUAAAGCACUUUUGGGAGCACAAUCAAGAUUUUUCUGCUUCAGAGUCACAGUUUUUCCCAGAAGAACUUCUCAAACUAUCAUGAGAGGUCAGACAUGAUUCACAUGUGGGAAUAGAACAAGCAAGGAGAAGUCCAUUUAGGGGCAGAAGUCCAUACGAGCUCAAGACCCAGAAGUAGGAACCCAUGCUGUGAACAUGAGUAAUUUUCUUAACAACUUAGUGUGAAUUAAAGAAAUUAAAGUAUGCUGUCGUGUUUGUUUGAACAGCUUACCUAGGAUUAUAAUAUUAAUGUCUCUGCUUUCUUUUGGUGAAGGUGCUAUAGACCUGAAACAGUUUUGUUGCAUAUUUUAGAGACAGUGCCUAUACAGAAAACAAAUAAGCUAUUUCACUUCAUAGCUCCACUAGAUAAAGAACUCGGUAUACAUUUCAA